rnacentral:lncRNA from 1 species
GAUGGGGUGAAAGAUGAUUCAGCUCUGUGAAAUUAAAGCUGUCCGUUGUAUUCAUGGCUAUUAGUUGUUGGUGACAUCAUCCGAUAACUUGAUUUCAAGCCCAUUAAAUUAAAUUAAAUUAAAAAUUAAAUUUAUGCAUUUAGCAGACGCUUUUAUCCAAAGCGACUUACAGUGCAUUCAGACUAUCAAUUUUUACCUAUCAUUACUCAUUACUUGGUCCUGUGGCCAAAACAAGCUUUGUUUCUCCACAUCAGUGCUUAGUGAGACUUCCUUGAUCCUCCCUGAAGAAAAUAUUUUAGUUCUCAUUUUUCUGAAGCGGAUAUCUAAAAUUCACCCUUUGUAGUAGCUUGCCAGAUUUCAGAGUCUUCGCUGUAUCUUGCUGUCUUUGUCUUGAAAGGGUUAAACCUGCAAAAACAUCCAUGUUUUUCUCCACCCACCUGCUUGUAAUAGUUGUGAUGCGAUUGUAACAUUGACCGCUCUACCCUUCGCCCAUCCAGGCAUAUGAAUAAUUGAUCAGGUCCGGAAAGUGCAAUAAGUGGACCACAUCCUGCUCGGUGAACGCUGUGAAAGAGCGGGUAACGUCUAACUGCCAGCCUAUUGGUCUGGUCUUGUCUUACCACAGCAGUGUUUGCUUGAGAGUAGCCGCAACAACAUGCUGCUUUCUCUGAGAUCUCACCGAGUCAUUGAUGGCAGUUCGGGAGCUGAUGCGAACGGCUCUAGCGCACUUGUUACAAGUGCACCUAAAGACCAGGAUGGACUUCUACAGUACAUCUGCUGUCAGAAGAGGCUCGGUGGUUCGCUCCUCCUCUCAUGCCCCCCGAUGCCAAGACAGACCCCUCAGGUGCAGAAUGGCCCAUCACCAGAGGAGCUGGAGGUGCAGAGAAGGUAAAAACCAAAGUUACAGACACUGACUGCAGUAAACCAUGCAAACAGGGGUUGAUUCAGCUAUUAAACAAAAAGCCUAGAACAGUGAUUUUUACCCAGAAUUAUUUUUUUUAGCUGUAAAAUUAGUUUUAGUGGGAAAAAUUACUUCGUAAAUCUGUCUUAUCCACAAAACACCUUCCACCCCAUGGUAGAACACGUGCAGUCAUAGAUUACGAGUUGACAUCUGCAUGUGUGAUGGUGAGAAUGUGAACCUGGUGAACUCUCACACUGCAGAAUCAAGUGCAGCAAUAUAAUGUUAAUGUCUGCUGGACUAAGUUCAGUUAAAUCACCACUUUGAAUUUAGCCCUGAAUUUGCCUUUUCAUGAGCGUGUUUUUAUCAAGAUAUCUGUAGACUUCAAACGAGGACAGAGGCUGUUACUCACCCUGGUCUUGUUAAUGAAAAGCUUUUCUGCAAUGAGUUCCCAAAGGAAGCAACAGUCAAGUUUGAGGCUGCUUGACUGGAAUAUAAAUGCUCAGAGCUCACUGCCUUCUUGUCAGAGUUGUACAACAGUACAAUACCAUCGAUGCAACUAUUGCAUCUUUACUGGUUUUUAUUGCAGUAAGGCUUACCAAGAGUUAGUGCUAUUUUGUGAAUAUUGUCAUUUUAAGUGCUG